UACAGAGGGGGCAAGCGUUGUUCGGAAUUACUGGGCGUAAAGGGCGCGUAGGCGGCCUGCUAAGUCGAACGUGAAAUCCCUGGGCUCAACCCAGGAACUGCGUCCGAUACUGGUUGGCUUGAAUCCGGGAGAGGGAUGUGGAAUUCCAGGUGUAGCGGUGAAAUGCGUAGAUAUCUGGAGGAACACCGGUGGCGAAGGCGACAUCCUGGACCGGCAUUGACGCUGAGGCGCGAAAGCCAGGGGAGCAA
rnacentral:rRNA from 1 species